rnacentral:rRNA from 1 species
GUGCACCAGGCGCGAAUACUUCACACUGCGCGAAAGCGCGAUGAGGGAAUCCCAAGUGCUUGCACGUAAGUGUAAGCUGUUUCUCUGUCUAAAAGCAGAGAGAGUAAGGGCUGGAUAAGACGGGUGCCAGCCGCCGCGGUAAUACCUGCAGCUCAAGUGGUGGCCGCUAUUAUUGGGCCUAAAACGUCCGUAGCCGGUCUAGUAAAUGCCUGGGUAAACCGUGAGGCUUAACCUUACGAAUUCCGGGUAGACUGCUAGACUUGAGACCGGGAGAGGCUAGAGGUACUCCUGGGGUAGAGGUGAAAUUCUGUAAUCCUAGGGGGACCACCAGUGGCGAAGGCGUCUAGCUAGAACGGGUCUGACGGUGAGGGACGAAGCCCU